AAGGCUGAGGCGUGAUGACGAGGCACUACGGUGCUGAAGCAACAAAUGCCCUGCUUCCAGGAAAAGCCUCUAAGCAUCAGGUAACAUCAAAUCGUACCCCAAACCGACACAGGUGGUCAGGUAGAGAAUACCAAGGCGCUUGAGAGAACUCGGGUGAAGGAACUAGGCAAAAUGGUGCCGUAACUUCGGGAGAAGGCACGCUGACACGUAGGUGAAGUGAUUUACUCAUGGAGCUGAAGUCAGUCGAAGAUACCAGCUGGCUGCAACUGUUUAUUAAAAACACAGCACUGUGCAAACACGAAAGUGGACGUAUACGGUGUGACGCCUGCCCGGUGCCGGAAGGUUAAUUGAUGGGGUCAGCGCAAGCGAAGCUCCUGAUCGAAGCCCCGGUAAACGGCGGCCGUAACUAUAACGGUCCUAAGGUAGCGAAAUUCCUUGUCGGGUAAGUUCCGACCUGCACGAAUGGCGUAAUGAUGGCCAGGCUGUCUCCACCCGAGACUCAGUGAAAUUGAACUCGCUGUGAAGAUGCAGUGUACCCGCGGCAAGACGGAAAGACCCCGUGAACCUUUACUAUAGCUUGACACUGAACAUUGAGCCUUGAUGUGUAGGAUAGGUGGGAGGCUUUGAAGUGUGGACGCCAGUCUGCAUGGAGCCGACCUUGAAAUACCACCCUUUAAUGUUUGAUGUUCUAACGUGGACCCGUGAUCCGGGUUGCGGACAGUGUCUGGUGGGUAGUUUGACUGGGGCGGUCUCCUCCUAAAGAGUAACGGAGGAGCACGAAGGUUGGCUAAUCCUGGUCGGACAUCAGGAGGUUAGUGCAAUGGCAUAAGCCAGCUUGACUGCGAGCGUGACGGCGCGAGCAGGUGCGAAAGCAGGUCAUAGUGAUCCGGUGGUUCUGAAUGGAAGGGCCAUCGCUCAACGGAUAAAAGGUACUCCGGGGAUAACAGGCUGAUACCGCCCAAGAGUUCAUAUCGACGGCGGUGUUUGGCACCUCGAUGUCGGCUCAUCACAUCCUGGGGCUGAAGUAGGUCCCAAGGGUAUGGCUGUUCGCCAUUUAAAGUGGUACGCGAGCUGGGUUUAGAACGUCGUGAGACAGUUCGGUCCCUAUCUGCCGUGGGCGCUGGAGAACUGAGGGGGGCUGCUCCUAGUACGAGAGGACCGGAGUGGACGCAUCACUGGUGUUCGGGUUGUCAUGCCAAUGGCACUGCCCGGUAGCUAAAUGCGGAAGAGAUAAGUGCUGAAAGCAUCUAAGCACGAAACUUGCCCCGAGAUGAGUUCUCCCUGAGACUUAGAGUCUCCUGAAGGAACGUUGAAGACGACGACGUUGAUAGGCCGGGUGUGUAAGCGCAGCGAUGCGUUGAGCUAACCGGUACUAAUGAACCGUGAGGCUUAACCUUACA
rnacentral:rRNA from 1 species